GGCUCAGAUGGUAAAGCAUCUGCCUGCAAUGUGGGAGACCCAGGUUCGAUUCCUGG
rnacentral:tRNA from 1 species